rnacentral:rRNA from 1 species
GACGAACGCUGGCGGCGUGCUUAACACAUGCAAGUCGAACGGAAAGGCCCUGCUUUUGUGGGGUGCUCGAGUGGCGAACGGGUGAGUAACACGUGAGUAACCUGCCCUUGACUUUGGGAUAACUUCAGGAAACUGGGGCUAAUACCGGAUAGGAGCUCCUGCUGCAUGGUGGGGGUUGGAAAGUUUCGGCGGUUGGGGAUGGACUCGCGGCUUAUCAGCUUGUUGGUGGGGUAGUGGCUUACCAAGGCUUUGACGGGUAGCCGGCCUGAGAGGGUGACCGGCCACAUUGGGACUGAGAUACGGCCCAGACUCCUACGGGAGGCAGCAGUGGGGAAUAUUGCACAAUGGGCGGAAGCCUGAUGCAGCAACGCCGCGUGCGGGAUGACGGCCUUCGGGUUGUAAACCGCUUUCGCCUGUGACAAAGCGUGAGUGACGGUAAUGGGUAAAGAAGCACCGGCUAACUACGUGCCAGCAGCCGCGGUGAUACCUAGGGUGCGAGCGUUGUCCGGAUUUAUUGGGCGUAAAGGGCUCGUAGGUGGUUGAUCGCGUCGGAAGUGUAAUCUUGGGGCUUAACCCUGAGCGUGCUUUCGAUACGGGUUGACUUGAGGAAGGUAGGGGAGAAUGGAAUUCCUGGUGGAGCGGUGGAAUGCGCAGAUAUCAGGAGGAACACCAGUGGCGAAGGCGGUUCUCUGGGCCUUUCCUGACGCUGAGGAGCGAAAGCGUGGGGAGCGAACAGGCUUAGAUACCCUGGUAGUCCACGCUGUAAACGGUGGGUACUAGGUGUGGGGUCCAUUCCACGGGUUCCGUGCCGUAGCUAACGCUUUAAGUACCCCGCCUGGGGAGUACGGCCGCAAGGCUAAAACUCAAAGGAAUUGACGGGGCCCCGCACAAGCGGCGGAGCAUGCGGAUUAAUUCGAUGCAACGCGUAGAACCUUACCUGGGUUUGACAUGGAUCGGGAGUGCUCAGAGAUGGGUGUGCCUCUUUUGGGGUCGGUUCACAGGUGGUGCAUGGCUGUCGUCAGCUCGUGUCGUGAGAUGUUGGGUUAAGUCCCGCAACGAGCGCAACCCUUGUUCACUGUUGCCAGCACGUUAUGGUGGGGACUCAGUGGAGACCGCCGGGGUCAACUCGGAGGAAGGUGGGGAUGACGUCAAGUCAUCAUGCCCCUUAUGUCCAGGGCUUCACGCAUGCUACAAUGGCUGGUACAGAGAGUGGCGAGCCUGUGAGGGUGAGCGAAUCUCGGAAAGCCUGUCUCAGUUCGGAUUGGGGUCUGCAACUCGACCUCAUGAAGUCGGAGUCGCUAGUAAUCGCAGAUCAGCAACGCUGCGGUGAAUACUUUCCGGGG